rnacentral:misc_RNA from 1 species
AAGUCGUAACAAGGUUUCCGUAGGUGAACCUGCGGAAGGAUCAUUAACACUUUUUGUUGAUUGUUGGUUUUUUCUUAUAAAAACCGACAACCAAAUUAUCCUAUCCAAACUGAAGAGCUUGUGAGCAGUGUGCUUUUUUUGUUUCUUGCGAGACAAAAAGCUGGCUCCCAUUUUCUCACCUUUUCCUUUUUCCAAUUUUAAACAAAACCCCAAUCACACAAAUCUAAAUCAUUUGUGAGAUUGCAAACAAUCAAUUUGCUAUCUUGACAAUCUAAAAAACAACUUUUAAGAGAUUUACAUCUCAAAAUGUAACCAAACAACUCUUAACAACGGAUAUCUUGGCUCUC